GACGAACGCUGGCGGCGUGCUUAACACAUGCAAGUCGAACGGAAAGGCCCUGCUUUUGUGGGGUGCUCGAGUGGCGAACGGGUGAGUAACACGUGAGUAACCUGCCCUUGACUUUGGGAUAACUUCAGGAAACUGGGGCUAAUACCGGAUAGGAGCUCCUGCUGCAUGGUGGGGGUUGGAAAGUUUCGGCGGUUGGGGAUGGACUCGCGGCUUAUCAGCUUGUUGGUGGGGUAGUGGCUUACCAAGGCUUUGACGGGUAGCCGGCCUGAGAGGGGGACCGGCCACAUUGGGACUGAGAUAGGGCCCAGUCUCCUACGGGAGGCAGCAGUGGGGAAUAUUGCACAAUGGGCGGAAGCCUGAUGCAGCAACGCCGCGUGCGGGAUGACGGCCUUCGAGUUGUAAACCGCUUUCGCCUGUGACGAAGCGUGAGUGACGGUAAUGGGUAAAGAAGCACCGGCUAACUACGUG
rnacentral:rRNA from 1 species